GGUUUCAUAGUGUAGUGGUUAUCACGUCUGCUUUACACGCAGAAGGCCCCUGGGUUCGAUCCCCAGUGGAACCA